GACGAACGCUGGCGGCGUGCUUAACACAUGCAAGUCGAACGGAAAGGCCCUGCUUGCAGGGUACUCGAGUGGCGAACGGGUGAGUAACACGUGGGUGAUCUGCCCUGCACUUCGGGAUAAGCCUGGGAAACUGGGUCUAAUACCGGAUAGGAGCCACUUUUAGUGUGAUGGUUGGAAAGUUUUUUCGGUGUAGGAUGAGCUCGCGGCCUAUCAGCUUGUUGGUGGGGUAAUGGCCUACCAAGGCGGCGACGGGUAGCCGGCCUGAGAGGGUGGACGGCGACAUUGGGACUGAGAGACGGCCCAGACUCCUACUGGAGGCAGCAGUGGGGAAUAUUGCACAAGGGGCGCAAGGCUGAUGCAGCGACGCCGCGUGGGGGAUGACUGCCUUCGGGUUGUAAACUCCUUUCGCUAGGGACGAAGCUUUUUGUGACGGUACCUAGAUAAGAAGCACCGGCUAACUACGUG
rnacentral:rRNA from 1 species